rnacentral:lncRNA from 1 species
UUAGUCACUUGAGUAAAACCCAAUCACUCCCUAUGCACUUCAAGAAAAAUAAUAACUGGAUUGGAUAGAAACUAGGGAAAAUUGCAAAAAAAACCCUUUUAAAAUAGAAUUUUUACGCGCUUUACUUCCACCCAACUUUUCCUAGCAAAAUACCUCCUUACAAAAGUUUUUUUUUUUUAACAAAAAUAACCUUCCCUCACCUAACAAAUUAUUUUCAUUGGAGAGGGCAGUCCGGUGUUUCAUGGAGGCGGUCCAACGAUUAUUUUUUGUUGGAAUGGGUGGUCAGGCAUUUUGAAAUUGCGGUCCGUCAUUUUGAAGGGGCAAUCCGGCAUUUUGAUAUGGCGGUCCAGCAUUUUAAAGGGGAGUCCGGCGUUUUGAAGUAGCAGUCCGACGUUAUGAAGUAAGCAGUCCGGCGUUGUACAAGUGCAGUCCGACAUUUUUUUUUAUUAGAAUCCGAAAAUGAUUUGUUACAUGAUGGAAAGGUAUUUCAUCAAAAAAAAAAAUACUUUUGUAGAGGGGGUAUCUGCUAGGAAAGAUGUUUUUUUUAUGGGAAGUUGCUAGGAAAAGUUAGGUGGGGGGUUUUGCAAUUUUCCUUGGAAACUAUCUAAUUUUUUGAAGGAAUACUACACAAUAAGUUGAUUUACUUUUGAUAUAAAAAGUUCAAUGUUAUUAUUGAUCAUAAGUUGUACAAUUAAGUGACUGGGAUGUGUCAUUGAUU